rnacentral:lncRNA from 10 species
GGAAAUUCCACAAAGAAAACAGAACACUCCAAAAGCGGGAAACUGACUUUACGUUUACCAGAUCCACCAGGUCAAAUGUGAAGGUUUUCAAAUCACCAACGAGUCUCAUUUCGUAUGUGGAAAAGAAAACAUAAAGAGAGAGAUACAUUUUCAGCAUCUUGUGUUGCUGAAAUAUUCAAUUUCUAGUAAUUUCUCCAUUGAGCAUGUAAUUUUUUAUUUGAGUGAUGACCAUGACUAUUUUCACUAUUGACAGCUUCAGUCCUACUGCCAACCGUGUUAGUUACUUUACUUGUUUAAAUCUGAGUUGUUGUAAAAAAAAAAAAAAAAAGUGAAGAAAAACACUCAUAAUUUUUCUCUCAUGUUUUCUUCUUAGUUUAUCUGUGACCUUGAAGUCUUUGAAUGUAAAGGUUAUCAGACAGAAUAAAGAAAAUUUAAAAUGACUCUGUACCUAGCCAUUCCUUCCUGGCCAUGUCUGUGUGUUUUUGUUCAUCAUUAGCCUCUUUGAACAAACUCUAAACAUAUGACCUGGGAUGGGCCAAAGAUUACUCUGGAAAGAACUCUUGAUCCCAGCCUAAGCUCACUCACAAAGCUAGACCAAUCAGAGAAAUUUCUCACUAUUUUAUUUCUUUUCUUACUGGUAAUGACAAAAAAGUUUUCUUCUUGCUUUGAUUGAAAAGAUGUAAUUCAGAACUGCUUGUAACAAUGUAGUAGUGAGUUAGAAUCUUGACAAUAGCCUAUAUGAAAAAUGAAACCCACAUCCAGAGAGAUAAGGUGACAAAAAGUGUCUUUAUGUCCUUGGUUUUAUCUUUUUUUUUUCUUUUUGAGAUGGCUCUUGCUUUAUUUAUUUGAAUUGAGGUUUUGUCACUUACAAUAGAUAUCCAACUAUUGAACAAGGAUCUC